AUGGCGCGCCGAUUCCUCCCGCUCCAAGGCCGACUUCAUCUAAUCUGUCAGAUGAGCGGCCACCGGGAUCCGAGUCGGAUGUGCUCCAAGGACAUGCCCCACGCGGAGGUGGCGGACACGGUGAAUUACAUCACAAACUGCAAUCUCGCGGCGGAUUGGCGGUUCGGAAAGGAGUCGUACUCACGCGCCAACCCCCCGCCUGCUAACCCCCUCAUCCAGCCUUCAGCCGGCACCGCAGGCCCGACCCGUCAGUUCGUCUCUAACCGAGCGGAGAGUGACGUCGACGACCCUGACUUGGGGGCCGCGGCAAUGGAGGCCGACGCCGAAGGAGGAGGAGGAGGAAGAGGAGGAGGCUUCAGGCCCUCGGCCACCUUUGCCGAUGGGCCUGAUGAUGACGCCGAGGGGGAAGUUGCUCCGCGCCACCAACCAAGGGUUGGCCAGCCGAGCGCGAGUUCCUCCGCUGGCUUGGAUUGUCAAGACGGCGCGAAGAGGCGUCGGGCCGGGCCGAGCUUGCUUGGCGGCCAGUCGAAGAAGUUCAAGGGGGCAACCGCCGCGACCAAGCAGGAAGAGGCAAUCGCGAAGGCCAACCGCUUCCGUAAGGAAGUGAAAAAGCCGCCACCGGUCUCCACGGCUCCCCUUACCUUUGAGAGGGUCGCCGCCGCCUCCGUCAUGGGGUCGGCAGAGACGUCCGCCACUACUCGGCGGAUUGACCCCGCCGCCGACCUCCGGGAGGCGACGGAGCGGAACGCACGGGAGAAGCGUGACGAGGACGAAGACGCCCGCCUGGAGAAGGCGGAGGCCGAGAAGGCGGCGGCCUCCGCCCAGAGGAAGCUGGAUGAGGCCGAAGCCGCCAUUGCGGCAAGGCAGCGAGCUGAGGAGGCCACGCACUGCCAAUCGGCGCUGCUCGUCAUCCUGCUGAACUCCGCGUUGCCGCCCCCGGAGUUCACGGGGCAGACUGGGGAAGCCGGCGGCGAGAACCCUGUCAUGGAGAGGGAAAGCGGCAAGGCCUCCAUGUCGGACACGGCCGUGCCGCCACCGCCGCCUCCUCCACCGUCUGGGAGUGCGCAAGGUAAACAGCCAGCAGGCCCGCUGGUGCCGCCGACUGAGGACGAGUCCGUGGCGAAGCUGCUCCUUCAAGUCGCCUCGCCAGCGCGCCGCCGCCUUGAGAAGGCGACUUCGGCGCCACGCCCCUUGGCGACCAGCGCCGCCAGCUCAGCCAUCCCAAACGCUGAGGCGACGAGUGCCGCGCCCGUUGGGUGGGUGCGAGGAGGCGGCACAGGCCCACUGAACCAGGCGCUUCUGGACGUUCAGGCGAAACUGCGAGCCGAGGGCGACGCCAUCCAGAACAACACCAAGGCGCAUCUGGCGUCGCGAGCAGCCGUCCAGGUAUGCUUUCAUUUUUUGACUUUGUUUUUCCUUGUUCUUCUCUGUGGGGGGCGCGCCAGCGCACCCACUGGGUGUAGUCCCCGAGUUUCAGGCUGGCUGCUGAGCAGGCGGCUCGGAACUCCUUCUGGCGAUGUCCAAUACUUAUCUUUGUCUAAAAUUCUUAUCACAUGA
rnacentral:rRNA from 1 species